GGCGCCCGUGGUGGCGGUCGGUGACGCGCAAGUACGUCAUCCUGUGCUGGGUGUGCGGCGGUCUGGCCGUACUGCUCGGCCUGCUGUACGUGCUGGUAUACUUCCUACUGCGCACACACACCAGCAGCCUCCAUUACUUCGAGACCAUUCCCACCUAUGUGCCGGCCUGCGUGCUUAUCGUGACUGGAUUCCUCCUGCUCUGCUUUAUCAAGCGCAGGAAUCGCUUCUCCUACUUGAUCAAGCUGUCGGGCGGCUGCUGCCUGCUGUCGGCCGUG